rnacentral:rRNA from 1 species
AGUGAACGCUGGCGGCAGGCCUAACACAUGCAAGUCGAAUGGUAACACAAAACGACUUGCUGUUUAGCUGAGGAGUGGCGGGCGGGGGUGUAAUAUCCGGGGAACUCCACUUUGGAGGGGGGGAACUACUAGAAACGGUAGCUCAUACACCGUAACGGCCCAAGGCGAGAAAGCAGGACCUUCUCGCCUCUUGCCAGCAUAUAUGACCAGAUGUGGGAUUAGCUAGUAGGUGGGGUAAAGGCUCACCAAGGCGACGAUCCCUAGCUGGUCUGAGAGGAUGAUCAGCCACACUGGAACUGAGACACGGUCCAGACUCCUACGGGAGGCAGCAGUGGGGAAUAUUGGACAAUGGGCGCAAGCCUGAUGCAGCCAUGCCGCGUGUAUGAAGAAGGCCUUCGGGUUGUAAAGUACUUUUAGUGGGGAGGAAGGGAAUAAAGUUAAUACCUUGCCGUAUUGACGUUACCCGAAGAAUAAGCACCGGCUAACUUCGUG